GAGAAAGGUACUGGGAGGACCACCGGUCGCCGCCGGCGCCGAACCCGAGGGAAUCCGGGAAGCAGAACUUCAGCCGAAACACGGCGAGAGGACCGCGACGCGCGAGGCGGAAGACACUGACCGCUCGGGCCGCAGCAGGUUCCUUCGCGGCCGCCCCCUCCAAGGGGGCUCCCGUUCUGCCCCACGUCGGUGGCCACGACAGGACGCGUGCUCCAGUUCUAUCCCGGUGAGGUGCCGGAUAGCUCCGAACGUGGCAGGACCCACUUUUAUUCUUCCGGACAACGGCCAACAGUUGUGACCCGACCUCCCCGUGAGGUGGCUCCCGGCGACGGCAACGAAGACGGAGACCGGAGCUUACAGUUGAGGUUUGAAAACUGCAGCCGCCUUGCAGGGCAGUGCUGUAGGCUAGAACCCACCCCCUCGGAAGGGAGAGCCAAUCCGAACUCGCGUGGAGGGCUGGGCUGUCACGUGUGGGCGGGGCGGGGCGCCGGGGCGGGGCGCCGGCACAGGGCGCGUGCUGCAGGGCGGGGCCUCGGCGGCAAGGGGGGUGUGGCCGGCGCCCAGCAAUCCGAAGCUGGGAGGAGCUUCGGAGCAGGUGGGGUGCUCCAGUAAUUGCUGCGACCGAGGAGUGAGGCAGGCGCUGCCAGGGACCCCUCAGGGGACUGCACCCGGUCUUCACACAGGGAGUGAACUUCUGCAGACGGGAGAGGGAAAAAGCAGUUAGUUGCUGCUUUCAACUCAUUCCCAAACUUUUGUGCCUCUUUCCUAACUCUUCCUAGUCAUCUUCCUUAUCACCUGAAACCAGGUGGCCAGUGGAGAGCCCCAUAUACUAUAACUUUGCAAAUAUCAACAUCGCUUGGGAUUUAUGGAACUUGGGCCCCACCACUAAG